UCUCUGUUAGUAUAUCGGUUAGUACACGCGCCUGUCAUUGGUUGAGUGGCCGCGCGAAAGCUGGGUUCGACUCCCAGACAGAGAG